rnacentral:rRNA from 1 species
UACGAAGGGAGCUAGCGUUGUUCGGAAUCACUGGGCGUAAAGCGCACGUAGGCGGACGUGUCAGUCAGGGGUGAAAUCCCGGAGCUCAACUUCGGAACUGCCUUUGAUACAGCACGUCUUGAGUCCGGAAGAGGUGGGUGGAAUUCCUAGUGUAGAGGUGAAAAUUCGUAGAUAUUAGGAAGAACACCGGUGGCGAAGGCGGCCCACUGGUCCGGUACUGACGCUGAGGUGCGAAAGCGUGGGGAGCAAACAGG